ensembl:lncRNA
GGUAAAGUUUGGAAUCCCAGAACCCGGAAAAGCCGAUUAGAGGCUGAGGGAACAAAAACCAGGCAGCGGGAGACGAAAGAGCAGAAACAAGACGCCGAAGCCAAGCCAACCCUGACACGAGACGCCGCUGGUGCCUUCUAGAUCAGGAGAACAGAAGGGAAGAGGGAUUGGAAACAGAGCACGAGGACAGAUCGGAGGGAGAGAGGAGGAGUACUUCAAACAUGGUGGGCGGAUUGGAGAUGAAGGACAGAAGUGGGGAGAGAGAAGUUGAGGAAAGGAGACACACAAGAGAGACAAGAAGGCUGAAGAAGAACCAGCAGCGAAAGACGGACUGCAGAGGCUGAUGACUCCAGAUAAGUCGUGGAAACAUGGACUCCGAACGGGUAGAUAAACCACAGAAAGAUUACGUGUGACCUCCAUUUAAGUUCAUUCAUCCAGUGAGCGCGGGCUCUUCUGAAGGGGUUUCCAGCACCGCAUAACAGAAAGGACAGGAUUAUAUUGUUGUGCAUCUAGGCCGGUGUGAUUGGAUGAUAAAUACUGCAUCAAACAACGCUGACAGAGAUAAGUGUCUUUGGCUAUUGUCCCUGAAUGUCUUCUGGAAGAAUGCAUGCUAAAGUCUAAACCAUCUGGUGGUGGGUGAGAAGCAUCAAUAAUAGAGAUUAAAUGGAGCAUCUCAAUAUAGCCUCUCAUGAGCACCGUCAGUGCACGCAUGCCUUUUUUGUUGUUGUUGUUUUUUUGUUCUGUUUUUGUUUUUGCCAGCUUCCGAAAUUCUCACUUUUCGGCAAGUGCAAUUCUGCAUAACAUCAUGCUUUCACGUCAGAUUUGCAGAAACCGCUCUAUUAAAAGUAUAAUCUUUUUCUUCCCGAAAAAGAAAUGUUGUGGACGCAAGGAGUUGGACCUUGACGCGAUCUCCCGUUGGCGUCUUCGCCGGAGAAAUCUGAUAUGUGCC